UACGUAGGGGCCGAGCGUUGUCCGGAGUUACUGGGCGUAAAGCGCGCGCAGGCGGCGCAUCUGGCCCGGCGUGAAAGCCCCCGGCUCAACCGGGGAGGGUCGUCGGGGACCGGUGCGCUUGAGGGCGGUAGGGGCUGGUGGAAUUCCCGGUGUAGUGGUGAAAUGCGUAGAGAUCGGGAGGAACACCCGUGGCGAAGGCGGCCAGCUGGGCCGACCCUGACGCUGAGGCGCGAAGGCGUGGGGAGCGAACGGG
rnacentral:rRNA from 1 species